GUUGCUGGGGGAAAGGAAAAUGAAAAGAGAAUUCUCUUCUAAAGAAUUAAGCAAAGCUUCAGAAAGGAAGAUGGCUACUUCAAAAUGAGAUUGAAGAUAAAGCAGUGUGAUUUCUCAGGAUACUGCUGGCACUGUGAGUGUGUAAUGGUGAGGGCUUUCGCUGGGAAUUCACUGCAAACAAGAACAACAGGAAGAUCAGUGAAGUUACAGCCCAAGAGACAGAUCUUACAGACCCUGUGGCAGCAACUGUUGUGCAAGACCUCAGUGUACAGCUACAAGUCCAAGGUUACCAUCAAUUUUAAGAGAAGCUUGGGAAAGCAGAACAUUUGUAGCAAAUAAGUUCAGAUUUUAAAGUCCUACAAAAAAAAUAAUGGCUACAUACAUAUUUUCCUGGCAGAAAAUAACUUGCUUUAAAUUCUGUGCUUCGUUGGUUGCCCUAUCCUACUUGAAAUGGUUGCAGUUGUGAGUUUUAUUUUGCUGCUGUGGGUUCAUAGGUCUGAUUUAAUCGUUCUUCUUUUUCAAUACCUAGCUGCUCGCAUGCUCAUUUAAAAUGUUGAUUGCCUUUCCUUGACGUUUUGGCUUCAGAAACAUGCUGUGGAAUUUAAAUUCAUCCCCCUCCCAUGCUAAUGUUGACAUUAUUUGUGUGUAAACACAUUACAUAGGAUAGCAGAAAUGUAAAUGAGAUUUCAGUGUUGAGUUGAUUUAUAAACAGACAGUCUCUUAAUUUAUGGAAGUCUGCUCUGUGUGGUUUGGACACAAUUAGAAGCAUAUACUAUACAUAGGGUACCCUUCUGUAACACGUUCAGAAAGAAGAAAUGCAAAAUGUAUAGCAUUACAGCACCAAAUGAAGAUCUUAUUGAGCUUCAAGAUGCUUUGAAACAUGUAAUUGCUAACUUAACUCUGCCUGUGAACUUGUCCUCAUUAACUCCAUAAUUAGCAAGAUCUUGUUUGAUCUUGGAGUUCAUUAGACAUUGCAGCUGGAAGAUUGUUUCAGUUUUAGCACAUCAGAAUAGACAAUUAAAGUGAUAAUAGAGAAUCAAUAUCCUUUCCCUGUUUCUUAGAUUUUUUUCAAGGUUGACAUGUGCCUAAUUAAACCAGGUUUGAAACAGUGAGAAAUUAAAAGGUAAUGUUGUUGCAUUUACUUUGGUUUAACAGGCUAUGUGAAAGACUAUGUGAAAUAUGCCCUGGGACACACUUUCUACCUGCACAAUGAGUAAAUGGAGGGGCUGAUUUCAGAUUCAGAUGCAGACUUUACUGGAGAUUUUGUAUACGUUCUACUCAUGUCCCCCAUAAUGACUAAGCCAUAUGCAAAUCCCCUUCCCACCUUUUAUUCUGUGUCCUGAUCAAACCUAAUAGUUCACAUUAGCUUCUGUUCCAAUAUCAAGAGAAAAAUGUGCUGAGUUAUUUACAUGGCUCUGACUUUUCCACAAGCCCAAACUGAUGUGCUUUUGUCCUCCAGAGUGGCAAUCUGAUUCUCCAGUGCAUUUCAGGACCUCAUGUACAACACAACAGUAAAACUGGCAUUGUUGCUGAGAUCGUCUGCAGCACGUGCAAUCCUAAAUUCACUCCAUUAUGGGGCUUUUUCCUUCUCUGCUUUCCCUGUAGGAAGUAGGCUGGGAUUCUCUCAAAUAAGUGGUUUCCUAGUAGUUAUCACAGCCUGGGAAAGCAAAUAGUGGUCUCAGAAACUCCAUAUUCAGAUGAACCUAAUUCUGCCUUUUGCUCAUCUUCCAACUGGCAGGAAACUGACCUGUAAUACAUUUAUAUACAUGUAUCAUCUGUAUCUCCUUCUCCUGUGACAGAGGGAGGCUCUGAGAGCUAACACUGGAAGAAUAUAUAGGAAAUUUCAGUGAAAUUUCCCAUGUAAUGAAAUACAAUAAUAUUCUACACACGAUUAACAGGAUUCAAUGUCCUCCUACUAUGUAUGUGAUCUUGCCUCUAUCCUUCAUCAUUUUCAUUAAACAAACACAGCAAACUGAAGAUACAAAUCAUGUCACUGAGAGAUAAAUGGAUAAUGAAGGGCCACUGAAGCACUAAUCCAACUUAUCUCAUCUUUGGCUUCUUGAAUUUGUGUAGAUUGCAACAGCACAAAAAAGUUCCAAAUUCACCCAACUGAUUUCAGUGGUUCUCCUUCAGCCUACAAGGUGCCACAUCUUUUCAUUGUGUUUGAAACCAUCUGAAUCUAAAUCUUUAGAAGAUAUUAAUGCUUCACUGAUUUAAAGUGAAAUAGACUCUAACUGUUGCCAUCUGAGACAGAUUAUAAAAAUAGGGUCAGAUCCCUACCUGGUGUGAAUCCAUCAAAGACAACAAAAUGUGAGGUUCCUAGCUUAUGAAGUCUGGAUAUAACACCCUUGCUUUCCUAGAGUACUAGGAAAAAAAAUUGAACAUUGAUGUGCCAAGGUGAUGACUGUUCACAUAGACAGCAACGUCUUGAUGUCCUUCAUCAUGAUGUACUGCAGUGCACAUUCUACAGAUCUGACUGCAAAUGAGGACUACUCUAGUGGUAGUAAACUACUCUUUUGGACAGCCAAGGGGCAGGCUAAGGCUGUCCCCUGCACACCUGCAUCAUUCUACUCUUCAGGAUGCUGUCAGGCAGGAGGACUCUUUGACACCUGGCAUAUGAAGCCCUUCUAGAAACAUUUUUUAAUUCUUGUCCCAACUUUGAGCUAGUUGUGCCCCAUGUCCAUACCCACCACCCAGAACAACACAGAUUUGCUUUUGCUCAGUGUAAAAAUCCACGUAGGUAAUUACCUCACUUGUACCACUACCUGCUAUCAUAAUGAAUGGGUUGGAGCCAUAUUGUUUCUUAAUGGCUUGUCUUAGUCGGUCAGAGUGCCUAAACAAACAUUUAACUCUUUGCCUUCAGGGACUAUGCUGAGUCCCCACACAUCAAAACUGAGCUUUGCCUGCUGCUGACACAGCACUUCUUACCCAGGCAAAGAGCAUGCUGACCAGGUUCCCUAAUCGAGGGAAGUAGGAAGAAGGAGCCCCGCAUGAGCCCAACACCCCAUCAAAUGCUCAAGCCCCUCAGCCACUCUUCUGUCUGAGCUGAGAGUCUUGGACCAAAGCUGCAGCGUCUGAUGCACAAACUCAGAUGCAUUGAUCCAAAUCAUUUAUUACAAGUUCUCACAUCACUUAUAUACCUUCACAAGUUUUCUUUUUCUAGCUUUCCCAUCCACCCCUACAACUUUCCUAUCCACCUUUACAUGUCAACAGAGCAUUCUACAAAACACUCUUCAACCAUUCACACAGGCACUUAACCAAUCAGAGGUCCAGAGGGUUUAGGGACUGAGGGCCUGGGACCAGGCUGAGGGGCAAAGGGUAGAGUGAAGAUUUAAAAAUCUUCUCUGACAUGCUGCAGCACUGCUGGCAAACUGCAUUACAGGAGCUUCCUGAGCCAGAAGUGGGUGCUCCCAUGCUCCUCACAGUACUGUCACCAAGGAACCAUCCUUCUCUGAAUUUUUCUGAUCCCUAUUUGCAUCCAGUGGGAAUGAGUUUCAAAGGUUAUCCAUGUGCUGCACAGGAAGUAUUUUCAAAAAAAUGAAAGUAGCUGCCUUAUAGGCAAGUCCCUUCUCUUCUCCAGCUGGGAAGAAGUAUGAUGCAAAUCUAAAGUAAAUGAACAAGUGUGUCAGCAUACCCUGAGGAUUUUCUUUGUUCUGAAGGGCUGGGCCCUGUGAAGCCUUUUCCUGUGGUAGCCCAUAGGACAGAACUCGUGCAGAGACAGUACAGGGCAACAGCUGCAGGCAGGGCAGCAUGGCUGAAUUGGAUGAGAUCGUGCAUGAAAUGUCAGAGGUGUCCCUUCAGUUCCAAGCCUAAUAACAUUUCUUCACAUGAACUGUGUUUCUGUAGCAAGUAGUAAAGUCCACCUAGCUUCACCACUGCUGAGUUAACUAGCAUUUUAUCACACAUGGCAAUACUGUUCCCUGGAAUGUUCAAUUUUAAUGAGGCAAUUUUAGACAUUAGGAGGGUUGGCUUAGCAGCUUUCCAAGAAAGCUUCUCAUUGCUUUAUGUGUGAAAUGUUAAGGAUCUCUCCUUCUGUUGUACAGCAUUCAGGAGGUCCGCAUGCUGCAGAAAUGGACCGAUUUUGGGAUGCUCCAUACUAUCUCUAAACAGCAGGUUAAUUUCAGCUGACACUUAUUUAUGAAAGCGCAAAGUCUGCUGAGGUAAUAAAAAAGUCAACUCCUAGGGAAUAUAUAGCCUU
rnacentral:lncRNA from 1 species